GCACGUAGAACCUCCUACCCUUCUUGCUAACUGUUACUACUCAUACAUUCAAGGACGACUGGAAGACUUUCUUGUCUAGACAGCACUGCGUUCGAUCAGCUGUCUCCAGCUUACCGGCACAGUAUGGGGGUUCAAGGACUGGUGGACGUUCCCUGGAGAGUCUUUAC